GAUGAACGCUGGCGGCGUGCCUAAUACAUGCAAGUCGAGCGAACAGACGAGGAGCUUGCUCCUUUGACGUUAGCGGCGGACGGGUGAGUAACACGUGGAUAACCUACCUAUAUGACUGGGAUAACUUCGGGAAACCGGAGCUAAUACCGGAUAAUAUAUUGAACCGCAUGGUUCAAUAGUGAAAGACGGUUUUGCUGUCACUUAUAGAUGGAUCCGCGCCGCAUUAGCUAGUUGGUAAGGUAACGGCUUACCAAGGCGACGAUGCGUAGCCGACCUGAGAGGGGGAUCGGCCACACUGGAGCGGAGACACGGACCAUACGCCUACGGGAGGCAGCAGUAGGGAAUCUUCCGCAAUGGGCGAAAGCCUGACGGAGCAACGCGGCGUGAGAGAUGAAGGUCUUCGGAGCGUAAUACUCGGUUAUGAGGGAAGAACAAAUGUGUAAGUAACUAUGCACGUCUUGACGGUAACUAAUCAGAAAGCCACGGCUAACUACGUG
rnacentral:rRNA from 1 species